CUGGAACCUCUCGGGGUUACAGCCUUGCUGAAUUAUUCACCCUUGUCUUUUGCGUACUUCUUGUUUCCUUGGUGGGUUCGCCCACCACUAGGACAAACAUAAACCUUUUGUAAUUGCAAUCAGCGUCAGUAACAAAUUAAUAAUUACAACUUUCAACAACGGAUCUCUUGGUUCUGGCAUCGAUGAAGAACGCAGCGAAAUGCGAUAAGUAGUGUGAAUUGCAGAAUUCAGUGAAUCAUCGAAUCUUUGAACGCACAUUGCGCCCUUUGGUAUUCCAAAGGGCAUGCCUGUUCGAGCGUCAUUUGUACCCUCAAGCUUUGCUUGGUGUUGGGCGUCUUGUCUCUAGCUUUGCUGGAGACUCGCCUUAAAGUAAUUGGCAGCCGGCCUACUGGUUUCGGAGCGCAGCACAAGUCGCACUCUCUAUCAGCAAAGGUCUAGCAUCCAUUAAGCCUUUUUUUCAACUUUUGACCUCGGAUC
rnacentral:sRNA from 1 species